AUGGAACCCCGCCGGCGAGCUCCCGGCGAGGCAGCCCCUGUAUACAGUGAUUUUGAUGGAUUGUUCACUGUUGAGAUUCAUCACAAGGGAUUUUUCUAUGGAACUGGCAGCAACAGGACAUACAUGGACUAUCAAGUUGAUUGGUUUGAUAGUUGUGAUAGUGACACAUGGUCUAUAUUGUGGAUUGAAGAUUUUCUUAAGCAGCUGGGGUAUGACAGAGAUAGUGGACAACAUGAAGUGUUUUGGUGUCAGCCUGGAAGGACACUUAGUGAAGAAAUGAAAGAAAUGAAAUGUGAUGCUGACAGCCUUGCAAUGAUAGCAGCUAGUACACAACACAAGAACUUAUUGCUGAUCAUAGACCAUGGAGAUACACUAAACAAUUUGGUACGAGAUGAUGUUGUAGUUCAAGGGGUUCCUGAAUUUCCAAAGGUCAUAACUCCAAGGAAAGACAAGGGAAAAGAACAAGCCACCUCACCUAAAGUUGCAACUGUGAGAAGUAAGAGGAGGGCAAGGGGAUUGUUUUUUGAAGGAUCAUCUUCGGGAUGUGCUGAUGAUGAUGUUGACGAAGAAGACGUAGAACCUGCAGUAGAUUCUGAGACCGAUGAGGAAUUUUUUGACAGUGACUAUGAUGUAGAGGAUGGGGAUGAUGAUUUAUUUGAAGAUCAUGUAGACAAAGAAGUGGAUGAUCACAGAGAAAGAUUUACAACAUGUGACUAUGAAACAGAGCUAGCAGAGGAUGCUCUAGAUGACCCUCACAUCUUGUUAUCCAAAGAAGAGAGGGACAAGUUGAAGUACCAUUUCAAAGAUUUCAAUCCAGAGACAGAUCUGAAUGCUCCUGUAUUUAAGUUAGGAAUGGUGUUUGGUAGUGUGUAG
rnacentral:rRNA from 1 species